UCCGGGGAUGGUGGCCCGCACCUGUCAUCCCAGCAACUUGGGAGGCUGAGGCAGGAGGAUUGCAAGUUGGAGGCCAGCCUCCACAAAAGUGAGACCCUGUCUCUA
rnacentral:sRNA from 1 species